AAAAAGGGUGUUCGCCACUUUCAUGGUGCAUGGGCCUUAACGGCUCGUGGGGUAUGGCUAUCAAGACAUACCCAACACGUAAUUUUUGUAUUUGUGGGGCAGUUGGCUGCCAAUAAGCACUGACGCCCCC